GGAGCUGGGAGAUGCAUCGGGCUGUGUCCGGGCGUACCUGGAGGAAGCCCGGACCGAAGCGCUGGCCACAGUGAGUGACCGGGGCAGUUUGGGAAAAGGAGACGACCGCAUCCUGGGUGACAUCUGCCGGAGGGCACGGGGGAAGAAGAGUCAAGGCUUCGCCUCUCUGCCCUGCUCCGAGUGCAGCCGCUAUCUCUUUCCUGCCCGGGGAGCAAGCUGUGCGGGUGGCCCUUGCCCUGUGAGGGUCUGAAGCGCGGUCACACUGGGGCAGAUAUGUUGUUUUAGAUUUAUGUGUGCUGGGAGAAAAAAAGGAGUUAGGAGUCCUUCCUUUCUUCCACCUUUCCUACUGACGGAGUCUUCUCUGACCAAGAGAGCAACUCUCACAAAUGACCUCGAGAGACUUUACAGUAUACCCCUAGCCUGAAAUGAUGGAAGAUUUACAUCAGAUAUAAGGAAGAAAUAUUUUACAGUAAGGAUGACGAGGCACUGGAACAGGUUGCCCAGCAAGAUGGUGGAAGCCCUGUCUUUGGAGACGUUCAAGGAACUUGAAAAAGCAACGAGCAAGAGUGGAUUAGACACAGAUACUGAAAAAUAAAGUUCUGCUUGUUCGGAUUCAGUGCAUGUGGAGAAAGAAAACGAAUCAACGAGUCUUGUGGCUAUCCAAAAAAAUGAACAGUACUUGAAUCAACUGCACGAGGACAGCACAAAACCUAGAAGACAUUCACUUUGAAAGAGCAACCUCUUAAAAGCUCUCUGGAAUUUUGUCUACCUUGUGUACUGCAAUCAGUUGCAUCAUCAAGACAAAAUCUCAAAGGCUGUCCCAGGUUCAAGGAGGAUUAACUCAAAGCCAGGCCUCUUAGGAACGUUCUUAAGCAGAUCCUGACGUGUGCAGAGUUUGGUCUCCUAGGAAAAGAGGCUCUUACUUAAGUGGCAUAGUGCCUUGUUUUAAAGGCAGAAAGCAUGGAUUAAAUUUGGUUCUGAAGUGCUGUGCAUAGCGUUUCAUGCUACAGAUUUUCAAGGAGAGUUUACUUGUGCCCUUUGAUACUUGCUCCAGGGGCAGUAUUUGUGCAGGCCCGGUGACUGCUUUAUCUUUUGCCUUCACUGUGAUCAAUAUAGGCAAAUAAUUAAAAUAACUGAAUUUGAAAC
rnacentral:lncRNA from 7 species